CGAAGUCCAUAGUAUCAAUAGUAAUCUUAUUCGGGUCCCAAACAAACCAGAUAUCCCCACAAAAAUCGUUGGCGUCAAAUCGAAAGGAAGAAGAAAAUCCUAUUCGUUUGAUGAUGUCGUCUGCAUUAGCGCCACUCACUUUUGGUUCAACAAUAAUGGCCACCGAACAUUUAUUAACCUGAAUGUAAGAUUUGAAGUAAGAGAGAAACGAUUUAUGAGCCGCUCCCUGACAAUUUCAAUAAAAAAUAUUAUACAUAUUAGACAUAAAAUUGGACAUAAUAAAGAAAAUGAGAAAUGAAAAAACGUCCCUGACAAAUCAAUUAGCAGAGGUUUGAGAAAAAAAUUGGCCUCCAAUCGUCUUUUGAGAGGACUACUUCACUCGGAGCUGUACUCCUUCAACCUCCUCUUCGCUGCUACCACUAGAAUCACCUUUCAAAAUUGCCUUCGUAGUGGUAACGUCACCAAGCUUAACGCCAACAUGAUGGUCCAAAGUGGAUGAUUGGGGAUGAGGAAUGCCUCUAGCGAUUGUAAAGUAUUGAAGGGAAGAGCUUCAAGAACUCGGCUUUGCCGCUGUUUCCCCCGUGAUGGCGCUUUCUGCUUCUUCUGUCGAUCAAUCGGCCCAUGAAGGACGCGGCUCAGAGAGGAUUUUGGCGUGUUGAGAUCUCCUUCUUAUUUCCAGAACCAGAGGUUGUAGUCACCGGGUUUUCGAUAGGAACGAUAUUGGCAUUCGAAACUUGUAGUUGACUGGGCUUGUAAAUUGGGAAGGUGAUUCGUAUUCAAA
rnacentral:lncRNA from 1 species